rnacentral:rRNA from 1 species
UGCCAGCCGCCGCGGUAAUACGGAGGGUGCAAGCGUUAAUCGGAUUUAUUGGGCGUAAAGAGCGCUUAGGCGGAGAGGAAAGUCGGACGUGGAAUCCCGGGGCUCAACCCCGGAACUGCAUCCGAAACUUCCUCCCUUGAGGGUAGGCGGAGAAAACGGAAUUCCACAUGUAGCGGUGAAAUGCGUAGAUAUGUGGAGGAACACCCGUGGCGAAAGCGGUUUUCUAGCUUACUCCUGACGCUGAGGCGCGAAAGCAAGGGGAGCAAACAGGAUUAGAUA